rnacentral:rRNA from 1 species
GAACGCUGGCGGCGUGCCUAACACAUGCAAGUCGAGCGGAGAUAUAUGUCUAAGAGACUUCGGUCAAAUUAAUUAUAUCUUAGCGGCGGAUGGGUGAGGAACGCGUGGAGAACCUGCCCUUCACAGGGGGAUAACAGCUGGAAACGGCUGUUAAUACCGCAUAUGCUCACAGCACCGCAUGGUGCAGGGAGGAAAGCCGAGACGGUGAAGGAUGGCUCCGCGUCGGAUUAGCCGGUUGGCGGGGUAACGGCCCACCAAAGCGAUGAUCCGUAGCCGGCCUGAGAGGGCGACCGGCCACAUUGGGACUGAGACACGGCCCAAACUCCUACGGGAGGCAGCAGUGGGGGAUAUUGCACAAUGGGGGAAACCCUGAUGCAGCCGACGCCGCGUGAAGGAAGACGUGCUCCGGCAUGUAAACUUCUAUCAGCAGGGAAGAAGAUGACGGUACCUGACUAAGAAGCCCCGGCUAACUACGUGCCAGCCGCAGC